UCCAUAGGCGGGCAAUUAAGUCAGAGGUGAAAUCCCACAGCUCAACUGUGGAACUGCCUUUGAUACUGGUUGUCUUGAGUUAUAGUGAAGUAGAUAGAAUAUGUAGUGUAGCGGUGAAAUGCAUAGAUAUUACAUAGAAUACCGAUUGCGAAGGCAGUCUACUAACUGUAUACUGACGCUAAUGGACGAAAGCGUGGGGAGCGAACAGGAUUAGAUACCCUGGUAGUCC
rnacentral:rRNA from 1 species